CGGCGGACGGGUGAGUAACGCGUGGGUAACCUGCCUCAUACAGGGGGAUAACAGUUGGAAACGGCUGCUAAUACCGCAUAAGCGCACAGUACCGCAUGGUACGGUGUGAAAAACUCCGGUGGUAUGAGAUGGACCCGCGUCUGAUUAGGUAGUUGGUGGGGUAACGGCCUACCAAGCCGACGAUCAGUAGCCGCCUGAGAGGGUGACCGGCCACAUUGGGACUGAGACACGGCCCAA
rnacentral:rRNA from 1 species